rnacentral:rRNA from 1 species
CCCAACUAAUAUUAAUUAUAUGAUUUAAUAUAGUUUAGGUUGCGGGGAUCUAAAAAAUCUUACCUUUGGAAGCGAAUCUCGGAAUUACAUAAAUUGAUGGUAGAUAUUCAGACUGCUCAUGCUAAGUUGGGCAGUCAAGACGGAAACAGCCGAGAACACUGAUCAAGGUCCCAAAUGAUUGUUAAGUGAAAUUAAGGACGUAGCAAUAUCGUAUACAGCUGUGAAGUGAGCCUGGCAGUCGCUACUUAUAAUGAUCGUACGUAACAACGCAUCAGCAGUAUUAAUUAAUAAUUUAUUAAUUAAAUGAUAGUAGCGCCGAAAAUUUAACGGGUCUUAAACAAUCAACCGAUAUCGUGUUGGUUUUAUUUAUAUAUAUUAUAAAAAAAAUCUAGGUAGUAGAACAUUCAGUUUAACUGUUAAUUAGACAGUGUUUCAUUGUUUAUUAGGUUACUGAAGAGAGAAUGCUGACAUGAGUAACGUAAAAAAUUCCUUAUAAUGGAAUUCGCCGAAUACGAAAGGGUUGCAAAUAUGAAAGGUUAAACCGCUUUGUGUUAAUGCGGNCUCUAAGGACUAUAGCAAUAGCUAUGGCUGAUGAGUAUGUAAUAG